UCUAAUGUGGCAGAUUAGUGCAAUAGAUUUAAGAUCUAUAUAUAAAUUUCUAUUUCUUUAGAA
rnacentral:tRNA from 1 species